CUCCCCUAUACAUUCAACAAAGCCACUGCCACCAAUUCCCUCCGCAUCAGACUCAAUCAAUGCAAGGAUUGUGCCAUAUUCAAAUGAAGAAAGUGGAUCAUCAGUAGCUCCCAGUUUCAGAAGACGCAGCCACAAACCCUGCAGCUUAACUUUAAUGUCCAAAACCAUGCGCUCUCUCUCUGCAGCUCUCUCCAUUGGACUAAGAGAGUCCUUACCCACUUGCACAGAUGGUGAGCUAGGAGCAUGCUUUAUGUACUCAAAAGCUCCACUCGCUGCUGCAAGAAUCUGCUUCCUCUUCUCGUCUUGCUCUUCUGAUCUGAUGUUUGAAGGAAACCUAUCAUAAGUAUAUUUGGCACCUGAUCCUGCUCCCACAUCUUCGUCUGAUAUGG
rnacentral:misc_RNA from 1 species